CAGAGGUGGCAAGCGUUGUUCGGAAUUACUGGGCGUAAAGGGCGCGUAGGCGGCCUUCUAAGUCAGACGUGAAAUCCCCAGGCUUAACUUGGGAACUGCGUCUGAUACUGGAGGGCUCGAGUGCGGGAGAGGGAUGUGGAAUUCCAGGUGUAGCGGUGAAAUGCGUAGAUAUCUGGAGGAACACCGGUGGCGAAGGCGGCAUCCUGGACCGACACUGACGCUGAGGCGCGAAAGCUAGGGGAGCAAACGGGAUUAGAUACCCCGGUAGUCCUAGCCCUAAACGAUGGGUGCUUGGUGUGGCGGGUAUCGAUCCCUGCCGUGCCGAAGCUAACGCAUUAAGCACCCCGCCUGGGGAGUACGGUCGCAAGGCUG
rnacentral:rRNA from 1 species